rnacentral:misc_RNA from 1 species
UUUCCGUAGGUGAACCUGCGGAAGGAUCAUUCAUAAUAAGUGUUUUAUGGCACUUUUUUAAAUCCAUAUCCACCUUGUGUGCAAUGUCAGGGUCGAUUUUUCUCUCGAGAGGAUCAACCCCAAACAUCAACUAUAUCUCAACUCUUUGUCUGAAAAAUAUUAUGAAUAAAACAAUUCAAAAUACAACUUUCAACAACGGAUCUCUUGGCUCUC